UCAGGUGAUCCGCCUGCCUCGGCCUCCCAUAGUGCUGGGAUUACAGGCGUGAGACAUUGUGCCCAGCCUCAAAUUUAAGACAAAUUCCUAAUGAGUGGGUUGAAAGUUCUGUGUGAGGAGACAUUAUUGAGUGAUAGCGGGGUUCUAAGCUUAUUAAGAGAGAAAUACAUCUGAUCAUGAUCACCUGUUUGGGAUUGACAAACCUGGUUACCAAUAUUCCUUCAGCCAGAUGGAUGUUGGAAUUUGAGGAUUUAGAAUUACACUUUUGUGAUUCUUGUUUUUCUUCAGCUGCUCCUGGUGUCCCUCAGUCUAGAUUUCUUACAUUUACCCUCUCUAGAAAAUUAACCUUUGCAGUUUUCUAGGGCAAGUGAGAGCCAGUUACGUGUUAGUAUGUAGUGGAUAAGGGGAUUGUUUUGAUUGCUUUUCAGAUGAUAUGCAGUUCCUCUUGGUUAGCCUUUUCUGGAAACGUCCCUCCUGGAUACAUAGAACAUCACUGCGCAUGCCCAUCUCCCCUCCCCCGAUGCCUGGUAUCUAAUGUUCCUCCAGUUUCUGGUGCUCUAAUGCAUUGCUUUUGGAUUUGUCUUACUUACUGCAGCGGCUUUGUUUGGUCCUAAGUCAUUUACCACUUGUCAUAUGUCCUUUCAAGUUUCCAGGGAUAGUCUUUUUUAUAUUUAUGGCUUUAUGCCCUUUAUCUCCGUUGUCAUUUGGCGUUUCAAGAAGGAGAGGUGGUAGUCUUUAAGUGGAAUUAACUACUUGUGUUUCUGAUGUGGUCUUUUUAUGUUUCUGACAGGGUCUUGUUUUACCAAGUACUAGUCAUCAGUCUAUCCUGUUUACUUGAUUUUUUUCCCAUUCAACUCACAAACAUUUUUGAAUCGUCUCGUGAAUUCUGCUUUCCAUUUACAUUUUUGCCCUUUUAUCUUUUCCUCAUCGCUGACAAGCUUCCUGAAAAAAUAAAACUAGUUGAUGUAUUCACUUCUU